GUAUUAUAGCUUGGUGGAGGUAGAGCGACUGGUUGGUUGAGCGGGACUACAAUCUUAGCAAUGUCAGCCAAACUCCGAAUGCCACUAAUUGUGUUGUACGGCAGUGAGACUGUGGGGGAUAAGCUUCAUAGUCGAGAGGGAAACAGCCCAGAUCGCCGGUUAAGGCCCCUAAGGGUGUACUAAGUGGAAAAGGAUGUGGGAUCGCGAAGACAGCCAGGAGGUUGGCUUAGAAGCAGCCAUCCUUGAAAGAGUGCGUAAUAGCUCACUGGUCGAGUGGUUCUGCGCCGACAAUGUAGUGGGGCUCAAGUACACCGCCGAAGCCGCGGCAAACUUUUUUGUUUGGGUAGGGGAGCGUCGUGCAUGGGUUGAAGCGUUACCGUAAGGAGGCGUGGACUGUGUG
rnacentral:rRNA from 1 species